GCCGGAAUAGCUCAGUUGGGAGAGCGUUAGACUGAAGUUGUGUACGCAACAAUCAGCUAAAGGCCUCCGGUUCAAUCACGGGUUCCGGCA
rnacentral:tRNA from 1 species